CUCUUUAAUAUUUUUAUUAGUGAUAUUGCAGAAGGUCUUGAUGGUAAGGUAUGUCUUUUUGCUGAUGAUACUAAGAUAUGUAACAGGGUUGAUGUUCCAGGAGGGUUAAGCUAAAUGGCAAAUGAUUUAGGUAAACUAGAAAAAUGGUCAGAGUUGUGGCAACUGACAUUUAAUGUAGAUAAGUGCAAGAUAAUGUAUCUUGGACGUAAAAACCCAAGGGCAGAGUACAGAAUAUUUGAUAGAGUUCUAACCUCAACAUCUGAGGAAAGGGAUUAAGGGGUAAUUAUUUCAGAUGACUUAAAGGUAGGCAGACAUUGUAAUAGAGCAGCAGGAAAUGCUAGCAUAAUGCUUGGUUGUAUAGGGAGAGGUAUUCACAGUAGAAAAAGGGAGGUGCUCAUGCCAAUGUACAGAACACUGGUGAGACCUCACCUGGAGUCUUGUACGCAGUAGUGGAGACGAUAUCUCCAGAAGGAUAUUGAUACUUUAGAGUGUUCAGAGAAGGGCUACUAAACUGGUUCAUGGAUUGCAGGAAAAAAACUUACAAGGAAAGGUUAAAGGAACUUAACAUGUAUAGCUUCGAGGAAAGACGAGACGGGGGGAUAUGAGAAACAUUUAAAUACAUAAAGGGAAUCAACACAGUAAAGGAGGAAGACUAUAUUUAAAAGAAUAAAAACUACCACAACAAGAGGACAUUGUCUUAAAUUAGAAGGGCAAAGGUUUAAAAAUAAUAUCCGUAAGUACAGGGAGUGCAGAAUUAUUAG